ensembl:lncRNA
GCCGCCGAAUACGUCACUCCCAUUUUUUGCGAGAUGCCGGCUGUCCGACUGCUUCAUUUUCUCUGGCGGUUGCCUCGGUCUAAUGGACCGCGGCCGUCUGGCGGCACGCCCCUUUGAAAUACAACGCUACUCUCAAAAUCAACCAGCCAUGUUGGUUUGGACACACAUUCGCAUCAGUUCAUCGCUCAAUCGCGAGUUACUACAGCCUGCAGUUUGCUAGCUAGCAAAGUCAUCCACUACCAUCGUUUAAAUACCUUGACCAGAGCAUAACCGGUUAUCUUCACCCAAGAGACCUACUGUUGGACAAUCGUUUUGGCUUUAAUGAAUCUUGGUAAGAGGCGAUGAGAUAUUUGGUGUGCUUCCAAAAAGGUUCCAGCGUUGAAACGAUGGACGAUGACAAGAAGGGAAAACAAAAGAGAAUCUCAAAUUCCAAGUACAGACCCCAGGCCUCUUCUGAUGAAGUGGAGUCUAGGCUUCCAGAUGCACCAGCUGUUGUUUCGACAACCUCUUUUGAGAUUUGAAAACAUUGUUCCCAGUAACGAGGUUUCAGUGCUGCCCCAUGCUCCAGAAGUUGCAUUGAUUCCAGAAAACCAGGAAAAUGUUGAGCCAUCUGUAGACCUCAGAGCUGAACCAGGUUUCUCCCUAGUAGUCCAGACUCCACUUCACAGAUCCAAGAGUUUGAGUACAACUCAUCAAGUACAAAGCAUUACACCCCCAGCAGCAAAUUUGCCCUGGCAGCAUAUGGGUGAAAACGCUGGAGAUUUCCAGAGACUCCUGAAAACCAAGCUCCGAGGGAGAACCAAGGUCUGAGGGAGGAGAACCAAGCCCUGAGGGAAAGCAAUGCACGAGUAGCUUCGGAUGACAGCGGCUCACUUCAAGAGCAGGUGAAACACGUUGGGACAAUGUUGAAGACGUUUGCUCGCACUUGGCAAUCAGGU